CAGAAAGGUCAGCCCCCUGCUGCAAGUUCUUAGAUUCCCGGAGGAUCUGCAGAGUCAACAUUAGGAGUAUCCGUCCAUUCACCAAGGCCAUCAGGAAUGUGCUGAAUGUUCUGUAAAGAAGAGUUGUCAAUUGUGCACAGAAGAUAAGAAAUAUAUGAUGAAUAGAUAAUUGAAAAGAGAUCUUCCCGAAAGAGCAGAAGGAAGUUUCUUCAAUGGCUUCCUUCAGGAUUUUAAUCAUCCUUACAGCCUCUUUGAGAAUGAUUGAACUUCCAAAUUCCCUAAAGUUAAAAUUUUAAAUUCUAUUAAACA
rnacentral:sRNA from 1 species